rnacentral:rRNA from 1 species
AUGGAUAUAGUAUUCCAGAAGGGUAGUGUCGGAAUGCGUAUGCGUAUGAAGGUUUUUAGUGAAACCUGGAGGAACCAAGUGGAUACUCAAGUCCAGAAGGCUAGUGUCGGAAUUAAGGUGAAUGAUGACAUCGGUCACUACUUCUAUGCACAUAAGGGGUUGAGACAAGGGGAUUCCAUGUCACCUCUUCUGUUCAAUAUUGUGGCAGAUAUGUUGGCCGUCAUUAUUGGCAGGGCUAAGCAGCAUGGCCAUGUAGAGGGUCUAGUUCCUCAUCUAGUUGAUGGAGGGGGUGUCCAUUCUACAAUAUGCUGA